GAAAUGCGAUAAUUAAUGUGAAUUGCAGAAUUCAGUGAAUCAUCGAGUCUUUGAACGCACAUUGCGCCCCCUGGUAUUCCGGGGGGCAUGCCUGUCCGAGCGUCAUUGCUGCCCUCAAGCACGGCUUGUGUGUUGGGCUUCCGUCCCUGGCAACGGGGACGGGCCCAAAAGGCAGUGGCGGCACCAUGUCUGGUCCUCGAGCGUAUGGGGCUUUGUCACCCGCUCGACUAGGGCCGGCCGGGCGCCAGCCGACGUCUCGGAUCAGGUAGGGAUACCCGCUGAACUUAA
rnacentral:misc_RNA from 1 species